rnacentral:lncRNA from 1 species
GGCUACUUUGGACGAACUAGGGUAGAUCCAAGCCCUAAGUCCGAGUACCCCAUCAAUUAAUACCGCAGGGCACCUGGCCCGGGUCAAUUUCAGAAAGCAGCAAAUGUCUCAUUGCACAAUCUCCAUAUCCGGUCGGUUAUGAAUAUUCAGGAAAUUAGAUGAUUCUCUCUAAAACAAAGUUAUUGUCUCUUACUGGCCCCAACUCCCCCGAACGGGGACCCUGCCUAGUUGCAUGGCACUAAAACACCCUGCAGUGAUGCCAAAGCCGCGAACCGCAUCCGCGGACGAAUCAGGAUGCCUGUCCCGAUGGGUUCGCAAUAUAUCGCUCUUCACAGCCCUCGGCAUCGGCGCGGAGCUGGUUGUUGCCCUGCAUAACGAUCUCUAGCUGGAAUCGUAAUACUGUUAACGGUAUACGACGACGAUCCGGGUUGAGGAGACAAUAGAUCAGACAGAUAAAAGAAUGACAGACGAAUAUUAACCCGGGCGAACCGGUAUCACUUACUACGAACUCUUGAAAAGAUGAGUCCUGAGAUGUUUGCGAUGGAUGAUAUGUUUCCGUAAUAGGCAAUAAAAACAAGGCACUCACUCAACCUUUCCUUAUUUGGGCGAUUUCCAGCGGAGCAGUUGCCCUACUUUCCCUGUCCCCGUUAGGUUCAUCUUAUCCCCGCCUUUAAUUGAACAAUAAAGAUGAACUUAUCAGAGUCCAUGAGAUGAAAGGCCUCGAGAAUCAAAUGAUCGCAAUUAAACAAUCCGUGGCUGAGCGGUUUGAGUUAAUUCCCCUUCAGCACCGGGCCCAGCAUCUUUUUGCCCGUUGCUUCACUUUUUCGGGUCCCACGAAGAACGCCCGGAACUAUAUAAACGUCAAACUAAGGUUCGGAGAGAUAAUAGACUGCUAUGUUUGACAUCGUUCGAUUAGGUACCGUAUAUGCCCGCGGAGACCUCCGAAAUGAAUUAAUUGAUCAGACGUGCCUUUCAGUUUGUCUGAUGCACAUGCCUCUUUUCUUUUUUGCUUUGCAUUCUUUCUUGCAUCACUAG